UUAAGCGACUAAGCGUACACGGUGGAUGCCUAGGCAGUCAGAGGCGAUGAAGGGCGUGCUAAUCUGCGAAAAGCGUCGGUAAGGUGAUAUGAACCGUUAUAACCGACGAUACCCGAAUGGGGAAACCCAGUGCAAUUCGUUGCACUAUUGCAUGGUGAAUACAUAGCCAUGCAAGGCGAACCGGGGGAACUGAAACAUCUAAGUACCCCGAGGAAAAGAAAUCAACCGAGAUUCCCCCAGUAGCGGCGAGCGAACGGGGAGGAGCCCAGAACCUGAAUCAGCGUAUGUGUUAGUGGAAGCGUCUGGAAAGUCGCACGGUACAGGGUGAUAGUCCCGUACACAAAAAUGCCUAUGUUGUGAGUUCGAUGAGUAGGGCGGGACACGUGACAUCCUGUCUGAAUAUGGGGGGACCAUCCUCCAAGGCUAAAUACUCCUGACUGACCGAUAGUGAACCAGUACCGUGAGGGAAAGGCGAAAAGAACCCCGGCGAGGGGAGUGAAACAGAACCUGAAACCGUGUACGUACAAGCAGUGGGAGCACCUUCGUGGUGUGACUGCGUACCUUUUGUAUAAUGGGUCAGCGACUUAUAUUUUGUAGCAAGGUUAACCGAAUAGGGGAGCCGUAGGGAAACCGAGUCUUAACUGGGCGUCUAGUUGCAAGGUAUAGACCCGAAACCCGGUGAUCUAGCCAUGGGCAGGUUGAAGGUUGGGUAACACUAACUGGAGGACCGAACCGACUAAUGUUGAAAAAUUAGCGGAUGACUUGUGGCUGGGGGUGAAAGGCCAAUCAAACCGGGAGAUAGCUGGUUCUCCCCGAAAGCUAUUUAGGUAGCGCCUCGUGAACUCAUCUUCGGGGGUAGAGCACUGUUUCGGCUAGGGGGUCAUCCCGACUUACCAAACCGAUGCAAACUCCGAAUACCGAAGAAUGUUAUCACGGGAGACACACGGCGGGUGCUAACGUCCGUCGUGAAGAGGGAAACAACCCAGACCGCCAGCUAAGGUCCCAAAGUCAUGGUUAAGUGGGAAACGAUGUGGGAAGGCACAGACAGCCAGGAUGUUGGCUUAGAAGCAGCCAUCAUUUAAAGAAAGCGUAAUAGCUCACUGGUCGAGUCGGCCUGCGCGGAAGAUGUAACGGGGCUAAACCAUGCACCGAAGCUGCGGCAGCGAACGUAUCACUUAAAACGCUUAACGUGACGGCAAAGCCGGCAUGUUCAAGCCACACUAAACGUUGAGUUGGCCGAUGUGCUGACAAACGAACAGGCGUUUUAAGGAUACGUUCGUUGGGUAGGGGAGCGUUCUGUAAGCCGUUGAAGGUGGCCUGUGAGGGUUGCUGGAGGUAUCAGAAGUGCGAAUGCUGACAUAAGUAACGAUAAUGCGGGUGAAAAACCCGCACGCCGGAAGACCAAGGGUUCCUGUCCAACGUUAAUCGGGGCAGGGUGAGUCGACCCCUAAGGCGAGGCUGAAAAGCGUAGUCGAUGGGAAACAGGUUAAUAUUCCUGUACUUGGUGUUACUGCGAAGGGGGGACGGAGAAGGCUAGGCUAGCCGGGCGACGGUUGUCCCGGUUUAAGCAUGUAGGCGGAGUGACCAGGUAAAUCCGGUUGCUUAUCAACGCUGAGGUGUGAUGACGAUGCACUACGGUGCAGAAGUAGUUGAUGCCAUGCUUCCAGGAAAAGCCUCUAAGCAUCAGGUAACAUGAAAUCGUACCCCAAACCGACACAGGUGGUCAGGUAGAGAAUACUCAGGCGCUUGAGAGAACUCGGGUGAAGGAACUAGGCAAAAUGGUGCCGUAACUUCGGGAGAAGGCACGCUGGCAUUAGGUAAAGGGACUUGCUCCCGGCGCCGAAGCCAGUCGCAGAUACCAGCUGGCUGCAACUGUUUAAUAAAAACACAGCACUGUGCAAACACGAAAGUGGACGUAUACGGUGUGACGCCUGCCCGGUGCUGGAAGGUUAAUUGAUGGGGUCAGCCGCAAGGCGAAGCUCUUGAUCGAAGCCCCAGUAAACGGCGGCCGUAACUAUAACGGUCCUAAGGUAGCGAAAUUCCUUGUCGGGUAAGUUCCGACCUGCACGAAUGGCGUAAUGAUGGCCAGGCUGUCUCCACCCGAGACUCAGUGAAAUUGAACUCGCUGUGAAGAUGCAGUGUACCCGCGGCAAGACGGAAAGACCCCGUGAACCUUUACUAUAGCUUGACACUGAACAUUGAGCCUUGAUGUGUAGGAUAGGUGGGAGGCAUAGAAGUGUGGACGCCAGUCUGCAUGGAGCCAACCUUGAAAUACCACCCUUUAAUGUUUGAUGUUCUAACUCGGCCCCGUAAUCCGGGGUGAGGACAGUGUCUGGUGGGUAGUUUGACUGGGGCGGUCUCCUCCCAAAGAGUAACGGAGGAGCACGAAGGUUAGCUAAUCACGGUCGGACAUCGUGAGGUUAGUGCAAAGGCAUAAGCUAGCUUGACUGCGAGAGUGACGGCUCGAGCAGGUACGAAAGUAGGUCUUAGUGAUCCGGUGGUUCUGAAUGGAAGGGCCAUCGCUCAACGGAUAAAAGGUACUCCGGGGAUAACAGGCUGAUACCGCCCAAGAGUUCAUAUCGACGGCGGUGUUUGGCACCUCGAUGUCGGCUCAUCACAUCCUGGGGCUGAAGUAGGUCCCAAGGGUAUGGCUGUUCGCCAUUUAAAGUGGUACGCGAGCUGGGUUUAGAACGUCGUGAGACAGUUCGGUCCCUAUCUGCCGUGGGCGUUGGAAGAUUGAGAGGGGCUGCUCCUAGUACGAGAGGACCGGAGUGGACGAAUCACUGGUGUUCGGGUUGUCAUGCCAAUGGCAUUGCCCGGUAGCUAAAUUCGGAAGAGAUAACCGCUGAAAGCAUCUAAGCGGGAAACUUGCCUCGAGAUGAGUCUUCCCUGGGGCUUUAAGCCCCCUGAAGGAACGUUAAAGACGAUGACGUUGAUAGGCUGGGUGUGUAAGUGCAGCGAUGCAUUGAGCUAACCAGUACUAAUGAACCGUGAGGCUUAACCUU
rnacentral:rRNA from 1 species